CUGGGUAUACCCAGCUGCGUA
rnacentral:misc_RNA from 1 species